GGAAGAAUGAGAAAGGCUACAACAUGGCGCCCAGUCAGGAUGGUGGAUCCAGCAACUCAAGCAAAGGAAGUAACCAAACCGUCUGAGUGCUGUGCUUCAGCCUGCAAGGGGCCAACUGGCCACACGAGCAUUUGGGGUCGGUGAUGGACACAGCCCCAUCUUCUCAACCUCUCACAUCACCCUCUGCUUCCUAUGCUGUUAUGCUUUGCCUGUGCUGCUUCCUGUGAAAUAAAGUGAUGUGAUGUUCUGUGCUCAGCCUGCCUGCAUUCUGCUCUGUGCUGAGGAUCCGCUGCCCUCUCCUUUUCCCCUCCCCCUGCUGCUCACUGCCCCCAUGAAUCCCCCUAUCCCUCAUCACUUCCCCCCUGUGUCCCCAUGCUUAUGGCUGCCGGCUCCCCAACCUGGUUUUCCCAAUGCCAUCCCUGUGAGCUGGAAUGUGGUCUCCUUGUCGCUCCUCCCAGCUGUCCCUACAUAUCCCCACCCAACUUGGUGUCCUUCAGCACUUCCCCUCCCACCCCCAUCCUGCUGCCUUUCUAAUCCUCACCCACACACUUGCCCACUCCACAUCCCUCCUCCCACCCUUCCUCACGUUCUCGUGUCCCUGCUGUGCCCCCUCUGGCUUCGUAACCCCCCCCCAUAUUGUACCCUACUACCAAAUAAAAACGAUUCUUCUGCUGCCCUCCAA